GAAGCAGUAGCUCAGUUGGUAGAGCACGUAAGCUUAAAAAUUACCAAACAUGGUCAAUUUAGACUUACUUCUAACACUGUUAAUGUCGUGGUCGUUGGUUCGAGUCCAACCUGCUUCG
rnacentral:tRNA from 1 species